CACGUAGGGCGCGAGCGUUGUCCGGAAUUAUUGGGCGUAAAGAGCUCGUAGGCGGCCUGUUGCGUCCGCUGUGAAAGCCCGGGGCUUAACCCCGGGUCUGCAGUGGAUACGGGCAGGCUAGAGGUAGGCAGGGGAGAAUGGAAUUCCCGGUGUAGCGGUGAAAUGCGCAGAUAUCAGGAGGAACACCGGUGGCGAAGGCGGGUCUCUGGGCCGUUACUGACGCUGAGGAGCGAAAGCGUGGGGAGCGAACAGG
rnacentral:rRNA from 1 species